GACGAACGCUGGCGGCGUGCUUAACACAUGCCAGUCGAACGGAAAGGCCCUGCUUGCAGGGUGCUCGAGUGGCGAACGGGUGAGUAACACGUGGGUGAUCUGCCCCUUAUUUUGGGAUAAGCCUGGGAAACUGGGUCUAAUACUGGAUAGGACCAUGCUGUAGGUGGUGUGGUGGAAAGAUUAGUUUCGGUAAGGGAUGAGCUCGCGGCCUAUCAGCUUGUUGGUGGGGUAAUGGCCUACCAAGGCGUCGACGGGUAGCCGGCCUGAGAGGGUGGACGGCCACAUGGGGACUGAGAUACGGCCCAGACUCCUACGGGGGGCAGCAGUGGGGAAUAUUGCACAAUGGGCGCAAGCCUGAUGCAGCGACGCCGCGGGGGGGAUGACGGCCUUCGGGUUGUAAACUCCUUUCAGCCAUGACGAAGCCCUUGUGGUGACGGUAGUGGUAGAAGAAGCACCGGCUAACUACGUG
rnacentral:rRNA from 1 species